rnacentral:rRNA from 1 species
CAAUAGAUACCCGGGUAGUCCACGCCGUAAACGAUGAGUGCUAAGUGUUAGAGGGUUUCCGCCCUUUAGUGCUGCAGCAAACGCAUUAAGCACUCCGCCUGGGGAGUACGGUCGCAAGACUGAAACUCAAAGGAAUUGACGGGGGCCCGCACAAGCGGUGGAGCAUGUGGUUUAAUUCGAAGCAACGCGAAGAACCUUACCAGGCCUUGACAUCCUUCGCUACUUCUAGAGAUAGAAGGUUCCCCUUCGGGGGACGGAGUGACAGGUGGUGCAUGGUUGUCGUCAGCUCGUGUCGUGAGAUGUUGGGUUAAGUCCCGCAACGAGCGCAACCCUUGACCUUAGUUGCCAGCAUUCAGUUGGGCACUCUAAGGUGACUGCCGGUGACAAACCGGAGGAAGGUGGGGAUGACGUCAAAUCAUCAUGCCCCUUAUGACCUGGGCUACACACGUGCUACAAUGGAUGGUACAAAGGGCUGCAAGACUGCGAAGUCAAGCCAAUCCCAUAAAACCAUUCUCAGUUCGGAUUGCAGG